CCUACGGGGGGCAGCAGUGGGGAAUAUUGGGCAAUGGGCGAAAGCCUGACCCAGCGACGCCGCGUGGGCGAUGAAGGCCUUCGGGUCGUAAAGCCCUGUCAUGCGGAAAGAAAAGUCCCGCGAUUAAUACUCGCGGGAUGUGACGGUACCGCAGAAGGAAGCACCGGCUAACUCCGUGCCAGCAGCCGCGGUAAUACGGAGGGUGCAAGCGUUGUUCGGAAUUACUGGGCGUAAAGGGCGCGUAGGCGGUAAUAUAAGUCAAAUGUGAAAUCCUCCAGCUUAACUGGAGAACAGCAUCUGAAACUGUGUAACUAGAGUACAGGAGAGGGAAACGGAAUUCCCGGUGUAGAGGUGAAAUUCGUAGAUAUCGGGAGGAACACCAGUGGCGAAGGCGGUUUCCUGGCCUGAUACUGACGCUGAGGCGCGAAAGCGUGGGGAGCAAACAGGAUUAGAUACCCGAGUAGUC
rnacentral:rRNA from 1 species